rnacentral:miRNA from 1 species
GAAUGAACUCCAAACCGAUCUCCGGAUUGUUGUGCUGGUGUCUCUUCACCUUCACACUCUAUCGCUGUGUGGACUCUCGAAAGAGAGUCCACACAGCGAUAGAGUGUGAAGGUGAAGAGACACCAGCACAACAAUCCGGCGAUCGGUUUGGAGUUC